UGCUGACGAGCGGCGGACGGGUGAGUAAUGCAUAGGAAACUGCCCAGUAGUGGGGGAUAGCCCGGGGAAACCCGGAUUAAUACCGCGUACGCCCUGAGGGGGAAAGCAGGGGAUCUUUUGACCUUGCGCUAUUGGAUGUGCCUAUGCCGGAUUAGCUAGUUGGUGGGGUAAGAGCCUACCAAGGCGACGAUCCGUAGCUGGUCUGAGAGGAUGAUCAGCCACAUCGGGACUGAGACACGGCCCGAACUCCUACGGGAGGCAGCAGUGGGGAAUAUUGGACAAUGGGGGCAACCCUGAUCCAGCCAUGCCGCGUGUGUGAAGAAGGCUUUCGGGUUGUAAAGCACUUUCAGUGGGGAGGAAAACCGUGCGGUUAAUACCCGCAUGGCUUGACGUUACUCACAGAAGAAGCACCGGCUAACUCCGUGCCAGCAGCCGCGGUAAUACGGAGGGUGCAAGCGUUAAUCGGAAUUACUGGGCGUAAAGCGCGCGUAGGUGGUUUGGUAAGCGAGAUGUGAAAGCCCCGGGCUUAACCUGGGAACGGCAUUUCGAACUGUCAGGCUAGAGUAUGGUAGAGGAGUGUGGAAUUUCCUGUG
rnacentral:rRNA from 1 species